GGAAACUCUGUACUACUUUUAGGAGAACUCUGUGGCAAAAAAAGUUUUGUGAACAUGAGCUUUGUCCCAAAGUUGAGUGUACUCACUUCUAAGGCCACGGACUUCAAAGACCAGGCCUCUGAAGUGUGUGAGAUACUCCGCCUUCGCAGGAUAUCCUAAUUCCACCACUGUGUUUCUGAUUAGCGCUGUGUCGCAUAGCAACGGUGAGAGGAGAGCUGACAUCCUGGCACAUUUAUCAAAGUUAUGGAGCCAGCAUUGUUAAUAUUUGUUUUUAUAUUUUAUGUUGUAAUGGAGGAGAUGGUGGGAAUGUUUCACCCACGGCGGCGCCGGGUGAUGUACCUCAGGCUUAGCCGAGACCGAGGCCAGGUCAUGACAGCCUGUGCCAUCCUCCAUAACAUCUGCCUUGGGGUUGGUGACAUCAUGGCCCCGGAGGAUGAGCACGAGGAGGAGGAGGAGGGGGAGCAUGCUUUGGAGACAGUCAGUGGUGCUCCACGGCGUGACCAGCUGUCUGCAGAGGUGUCUGCCCUGGAGGAGGUACCCGCUGACCACGACUAUUUGUAACAGGCAAGACAAUUGUAAAGCUAUGAUGUGCAUGAGACGCUCCGCCAUCGCAGAAUAUCCUAAUUGCGCCAAGGUGUUCCAGGUUACUGCUCCUGUCACAUAGCAACAGUACGAGAGGAGAGCUGGCAUCGUGUCAGGAUAGGUGGAGCCAGAAUUGCUCAUUUAUGUUUUUAUGUUUCAUAUCACGAUGGAGGGGAUGGUAGGAAUGUUUCACCCCCGGCGGCCCUGGUUAAGUACCUCAAGCUUAGCAGAGACCGAGGCCAGGUAAACUGGUUUGCUGCGUCCUUAGUUGCUGGAUUACAACUUUAAAUGCAGGUAUUGGCUUGGAACUUAUUUGAAUAAUGUAAUCAUAGACUUGAAAAACUACAACAUACACACGUGGCAGGUCAAAUGCUGACUGAUAUCUUACAAAGGUGCAAUUUUAUAUAGUUUGAUGUCUUGACCAUGGUGAUCAUAUGUGGACAGCUUAGCAAAAAUAAAACUGUGAAUAAAAAAAGAGCA
ensembl:lncRNA